rnacentral:rRNA from 1 species
UACGUAGGGGGCAAGCGUUGUCCGGAUUCAUUGGGCGUAAAGAGCGUGUAGGCGGCCAGGUAGGUCGGUUGUGAAAACUGGAGGCUCAACCUUCAGAGGUCGACCGAAACCAUCUGGCUAGAGUCCGGGAGAGGAGGGUGGAAUUCCUGGUGUAGCGGUGAAAUGCGCAGAUAUCAGGAAGAACACCUAUGGCGAAGGCAGCUCUCUGGGACGGUACUGACGCUGAGACGCGAAAGCGUGGGGAGCGAACAGG